GAUAAAUGAAUCCUCUUGCAUGCAAGAUGAAUCCAUACAACUUAUAAAUAAAUCCUGCAUGAAAGUUCACUCAAUUUAAUGCCGGUUCACUCACUUGGCGCGCAGAUUAAAAGUUAUCUCACAGAGCAUGCGUUCGGGUCCGUUGGUUUGAGUCAAUCUCCCAACUGGAUCCCUUGUCGUUAUUUAAGUAAAGAAUAAGAAAUUGAAUAAUGAGCUAAGGGACCAGAAUGGGUUAGCUAGAUAUGAAAGGUUUAAGAGGGAAAGGAACAAUAUGACUGAUCGGCUCGAAAGGUGAUCGGGGCUCGUCUUUUGAUAAGAUCGGACUCCGAUUUCCGGGACGAAGGCCAAAACUAGAAUCGCGACCUAUCUGAGGAAUUUCAAGUUUAGACUCGGCCACUUUAAUCUGACCCGUGGAAGAGGCAGGACUGGGAAGAUUUCUUGUAUAGUUUCGCGGUGUGAAUUUUGAGGUAGUGCUAAAAAGCUAGAAUAAGUAAGUGCGGUACUGUGCGAGAUUUGGCAAGAAAACAAAAAGUUUUUUUCUUUGUGCACGCCGCCUCACCUCCUGCUCGGCACACCGCGCCCAUCAAGCCAAGUACCUCUAUCCUGACCCCACGCGCCAGCAUUAAAGGUCCCCAACGUCCGGCCGGCGUUGGAAGGGAGUUGCAAUCGCCAACACUGCACUCCGGAAGAGCCCGAUUCCCGCCCACUGGGAAUUAUUCAUUCGCCGCCCACCAAGUUGGCGAAUUAUUAGCAGCGCGAGUCAUCCAAGCGACGCGCCAUUGUUCACUGUGGUGA